rnacentral:rRNA from 1 species
GUUAACUCUAGCGGCAGGCCUAACACAUGCAAGUCGAACGAGUGGCGGACCGUUUAGAACUUUCUGGGAUACUGACUGAUGGAGGGGGAUAACUACUUGUAACGGUAGCUAAUACGGCAUUCGAUCAAAUGUGCCCAGAUGGGAUUAGCUAUUAGGUGGGGUAAAGGCUCACCUAGGCGACGAUCCCUAUCUGGUCGGAGAGGAUGACGGUCCACACUGGAACUGAGACACGGUGAAGACUCGUAAGGGAGGCAGCAGGGGUGAAUAUUGCACAAUGGGCGCAAGCCUGAUGCAGCCAUGCCGCGUGUAGGAAGAAGGCCUGCGGGUUGUUAAGUACUUUCAGCGGGGAGGAGAUACCCGCAGAAGAAGCACCGGCUAACUCCAUUCCAGCAGCCGCGGUAAUAC